AGGGCUUGACAUGCAGCUGCACGUCCCGCGAAAGCGGGAAAGCCUUCGAGGGUGCUGCAC
rnacentral:rRNA from 1 species